CGCUGGCGGCGUGCCUAAUACAUGCAAGUCGAACGCACAGCGAAAGGUGCUUGCAUCUUUCAAGUGAGUGGCGAACGGGUGAGUAACACGUGGACAACCUGCCUCAAGGCUGGGGAUAACAUUUGGAAACAGAUGCUAAUACCGAAUGAAACUUAGUGUCGCAUGAUACGAAGUUAAAAGGCGCUUUGGCGUCACCUAGAGAUGGAUCCGCGGUGCAUUAGUUAGUUGGUGGGGUAAAGGCCUACCAAGACAAUGAUGCAUAGCCGAGUUGAGAGACUGAUCGGCCACAUUGGGACUGAGACACGGCCCAAACUCCUACGGGAGGCUGCAGUAGGGAAUCUUCCACAAUGGGCGAAAGCCUGAUGGAGCAACGCCGCGUGUGUGAUGAAGGCUUUCGGGUCGUAAAGCACUGUUGUAUGGGAAGAACAGCUAGAAUAGGGAAUGAUUUUAGUUUGACGGUACCAUACCAGAAAGGGACGGCUAAAUACGUGCCAGCAGCCGCGGUAAUACGUAUGUCCCGAGCGUUAUCCGGAUUUAUUGGGCGUAAAGCGAGCGCAGACGGUUGAUUAAGUCUGAUGUGAAAGCCCGGAGCUCAACUCCGGAAUGGCAUUGGAAACUGGUUAACUUGAGUGCAGUAGAGGUAAGUGGAACUCCAUGUGUAGCGGUGGAAUGCGUAGAUAUAUGGAAGAACACCAGUGGCGAAGGCGGCUUACUGGACUGUAACUGACGUUGAGGCUCGAAAGUGUGGGUAGCAAACAGGAUUAGAUACCCUGGUAGUCCACACCGUAAACGAUGAACACUAGGUGUUAGGAGGUUUCCGCCUCUUAGUGCCGAAGCUAACGCAUUAAGUGUUCCGCCUGGGGAGUACGACCGCAAGGUUGAAACUCAAAGGAAUUGACGGGGACCC
rnacentral:rRNA from 1 species